GUGGGGAAUAUUGCACAAUGGGCGCAAGCCUGAUGCAGCCAUGCCGCGUGUAUGAAGAAGGCCUUCGGGUUGUAAAGUACUUUCAGCGGGGAGGAAGGGAGUAAAGUUAAUACCUUUACUCAUUGACGUUACCCGCAGAAGAAGCACCGGCUAACUCCGUGCCAGCAGCCGCGGUAAUACGGAGGGUGCAAGCGUUAAUCGGAAUUACUGGGCGUAAAGCGCACGCAGGCGGUUUGUUAAGUCAGAUGUGAAAUCCCCGGGCUCAACCUGGGAACUGCAUCUGAUACUGGCAAGCUUGAGUCUCGUAGAGGGGGGUAGAAUUCCAGGUGUAGCGGUGAAAUGCGUAGAGAUCUGGAGGAAUACCGGUGGCGAAGGCGGCCCCCUGGACGAAGACUGACGCUCAGGUGCGAAAGCGUGGGGAGCAAACAGG
rnacentral:rRNA from 1 species